ACGAACCGAGCGAACGUUGUUCGGAAUCACUGGGCUUAAAGGGCGCGUAGGCGGGCCGCCGCGUCCGGGGUGAAAUCCUCCCGCUCAACGGGAGAACGGCCUCGGAUACGGGCGGUCUGGAGGGGGGUAGGGGCGUGCGGAACUGUGGGUGGAGCGGUGAAAUGCGUUGAUAUCCACAGGAACUCCGGUGGCGAAGGCGGCACGCUGGACCCCACCUGACGCUGAGGCGCGAAAGCCAGGGGAGCGAACGGGA
rnacentral:rRNA from 1 species